rnacentral:misc_RNA from 1 species
CUGCUACUCCAAAGUCCGAGUGUUUCGACUGCAAACGGCACAAAUAUGUUUAGUGGUGUGAGGAACGUGGUGUGAAGAAUCACGUCCUCGUCCGCCAUCGAAAAGGGAGGAUCCUCCGACCAGACGGGUGUUGUGUCUGGCGGGCUAACGCCCCGACGGUUGUUGUCGGGAUCUUGUAUAUAUACUUAAUCACUUUGAAAACUCUGAUAGCGCGAUGUAGCAUACGUCAGUUUUUCUCUAAUUACGUAGUUUGUAAUCGUUCGUAUUUCGCGCGUUAGAUGUCGCCACAUCACUCCCCUCCGAGACCGGAGGUCGAUAGCAGGUUAAGUCGUCCAUUUAUCUUGUGAUGCUCGCCGGGCCAGUGGAAUGUUCCAGUGAGUCGGAACCAGAUGCCGCAUAGUUCACGGUGAGUCGGAACUGUCUGCGGUGAUGCUGCAUAUGCUCCAGUGAGUCGGAGUGGUGCAGUGCUGCGUAGUGGCUGGCUGCUGCGUCGACCAGGAGAGAAGUGCGUCUCUGCUUGCUGACCGGCCGAAGUGCAGUGUGCUGUGCCAAAGUCGCUGAGAAGGCUGUGGGCGAUGACCAGGAAUGCGCGUCCGCUGCAUGCUGGUGGUCAGGAUACCCGUAGUAGCCGUAGAUGCUGGCUGGCUGAAGCCAUAGAUAUUGGAUGCUACUCGCUGCUCGAAAGCUUGAGGAAGUGAUGAUGACGAUGAAGGCUGCGCUGAUGUUCAUGCUCGGGGUCACCAGUUUGGGAGUAUGAGGAAUAUGGUAUGAAGAAUCACGUCCGCCAUCGCAAAGGGAGGAUCCUCCGGCCAGACGGGAGUUGUGUCUGGCGGGCUAACGCCCCAACGGUUGUUGUCGGGAUCUUGUAUAUAUACUU